GAGGGUAUAGCUCUGUGUUAGAGUACAUGCCUAGCAUGCACAAGGUCCUGGAUUCAAUCCCCAGUACCUCUG
rnacentral:tRNA from 1 species